AUACACACGCUUUGGGUGAGAGAAGUACCGUUGCUAUGGCUGCUUGUAGGAAACAUUCCACUUCAGAACACUGGAAAUUCCUAUCAAUGCUCCUGUCAGCUGGGGGUGCAUCAGUUCUUUCAGUAAGUAGGAUUCUCUCCCCACUCUAAGUGAUCCCGAGUGCUUUCACGACUGAGGAAACCCUGUGCAAUUCUGUGAAGCUGGUAUUCUCAGGAUCAGAAGGAGACAGUCUACGGAUAAAGAAAUGAAGACGUGCAUGAAGCUGGGGCUGUGUGAGCUUACUAUUCAGGGGAGAAAAAAGAAAACAGUGUUGGAAAAUCAGUACCUUACCAGACCCGGAGUCUUAUAGCAGAUGUGAUAAGAAAUGAAAUAAUACUUAGCAGAGUCAAAGAGAUAUCUGUUCAAUUAUCAAUUCUAUUUUGAAUGCGAAACUUGAGACUGUGCUUUACUCUUUCUAGGUUCUGUACCUUGAUCUGUAAAAUAGGAUGCUGAUGCCUCCCAAUCAGGAUUUAAUGGACACAAAAAUGAUUUUUAAAAAUGUUUACAUAGGUUUCAGCAUUGCGUUUGACAGGCAAUCACCAUCAGAUCAAGGACAAUAUUCUUCUUUUCCUUUCUUCCAUGAAGACGUAAGGAAAAUAUUUGAUCUAUUUUAAUCUGCAUCUUAUAGAAAACCUCACACAAAGCAAAGACAGACUUUUCUAAACUGAUAAAAUGCAGAAUUCCUCUGUGGAAAUCCCGAAGGCCAAUGACAUCUGAGAACAGUUUUUGUUCAUGAAGAUGAAUGGGAUCAAUUGCAUGAUGCUUAAUCUGCCUCUUCAAGUUAGUUGCCCUUCUCCAGGAAACUAAGUAUAGCAUUGAUCUGCAUUUGUCUAUUUUGACCGCCUCCUGAUUACACCAUCAUUCUAUGAGGCUGCAGGUGUGCACAGACUCCAAGCACCCUUCCCAUCAUGCUUGAUGCCACUGUAUUCCUGACACGGAAGAGGAUUCCCAAAGCCAAUUCACAAAAUAUUCUCAAAUCUGAUCCAGUACUAUGGUGGCUUUGUUCAGAAACACAAGGCAAGGCUGAAGACGAAGCCCCCAUGAGGCAGGUGCUUAAGCACAGGACAAAUGGGUGCAGUUGCCUGGUUCAGAUGAUUUCUGGAUUACUCUUCCUGGAUUACCGUUGUGUUUUCUUAUACAUGGGUUAUUUUUUUUCUCCCUGAGCAUUUUAACCAUAGUUAAAUUGCCUUUUUGAUCUUUUCAGUAUCUGUGCCCUGGUGAGGUCUGACUCUGUCAUACUCUUUGUGUCUUUUUUCUCUCUUUUGGCAGGCGCUGUAAUUUUUGUUGAAAGCAUGUAUAUUGGAUCAUAUAAUAGUUACCAAAUAAACUGUUGUUUCACAAGAA